UCCUACGGGAGGCAGCAGUGGGGAAUAUUGCACAAUGGGCGCAAGCCUGAUGCAGCCAUGCCGCGUGUAUGAAGAAGGCCUUCGGGUUGUAAAGUACUUUCAGCGAGGAGGAAGGCGAUGAAGGUUAAUAACUGCGAUGACGUACUCGCAGA
rnacentral:rRNA from 2 species